rnacentral:rRNA from 1 species
AUUGAACGCUGGCGGCAUGCCUUACACAUGCAAGUCGAACGGUAACAGGUCUUCGGAUGCUGACGAGGGGCGAACGGGUGAGUAAUACAUCGGAACGUGCCUAGUAGUGUGGGAUAACUACUCGAAAGAGUGGCUAAUACCGCAUGAGAUCUACGGAGGAAAGCAUGGGAUCGCAAGACCUUGUGCUACUAGAGCGGCUGAUGGCAGAUUAGGUAGUUGGUAGGAGAAAAGCUUACCAAGCCGACGAUCUGUAGCUGGUCUGAGAGGACGAUCAGCCACACUGGGACUGAGACACGGCCCAGACUCCUACGGGAGGCAGCAGUGGGGAAUUUUGGACAAUGGGCGCAAGCCUGAUCCAGCAAUGCCGCGUGCAGGAUGAAGGCCUUCGGGUUGUAAACUGCUUUUGUACGGAACGAAAAGCCCCGGGUUAAUACCCUGGGGUCAUGACGGUACCGUAAGAAUAAGCACCGGCUAACUACGUGCCAGCCGCCGCCGUAA